AAGUCCCUCCUUCCGCAGCUUUCCUUCCUUCCACUUACUCUUUCUCUCUUGUCAGCCAUGUUGUUGGUGUGAAACUAUAACAGUUCAAAAUCAGCAUUGCAACAGGUACUGUUGUGAACCUAGGGGGCCAGAAGGUUGGCUAUUGGAUUGUGUACUUGCAUUUUUGUUUUAGAACGCGAAGAAAAACAUAAUUUGCACUGUUGUAUUACAUACGAGGGAGGCAUUUGUGGAUUAAUCCUGUGGUGCCUACUGGAAAAUCGAAAAACAUUAUUGGAGUAUUGAUUAGAAAAAGAUGGCUGAAAGCUAGCAUGCACGCUGAGGACCAGGAUGUCACACUUUCCUACAUCCAUGAAUGGUGGUCCUAAUGUAUGGGCUAUCACUUCAGAGGAGAGGUCCAAACAUGACAAGCAGUUCAACAGCCUAAAACCCAUUGGGGGUUUCAUAACUGGUGAUCAGGCCCGUACUUUCUUCUUACAGUCUGGUCUACCAGCAGCAGUACUUGCUGAAAUAUGGUGAGU